rnacentral:rRNA from 1 species
CCCCGGGCUCAACCUGGGAACUGCAUUCGAAACUGGCAGGCUUGAGUCUUGUAGAGGGGGGUAGAAUUCCAGGUGUAGCGGUGAAAUGCGUAGAGAUCUGGAGGAAUACCGGUGGCGAAGGCGGCCCCCUGGACAAAGACUGACGCUCAGGUGCGAAAGCGUGGGGAGCAAACAGGAUUAGAUACCCUGGUAGUCCACGCCGUAAACGAUGUCUACUUGGAGGUUGUGCCCUUGAGGCGUGGCUUCCGGAGCUAACGCGUUAAGUAGACCGCCUGGGGAGUACGGCCGCAAGGUUAAAACUCAAAUGAAUUGACGGGGGCCCGCACAAGCGGUGGAGCAUGUGGUUUAAUUCGAUGCAACGCGAAGAACCUUACCUGGUCUUGACAUCCACAGAACUUUCCAGAGAUGGAUUGGUGCCUUCGGGAACUGUGAGACAGGUGCUGCAUGGCUGUCGUCAGCUCGUGUUGUGAAAUGUUGGGUUAAGUCCCGCAACGAGCGCAACCCUUAUCCUUUGUUGCCAGCGGUCCGGCCGGGAACUCAAAGGAGACUGCCAGUGAUAAACUGGAGGAAGGUGGGGAUGACGUCAAGUCAUCAUGGCCCUUACGACCAGGGCUACACACGUGCUACAAUGGCGCAUACAAAGAGAAGCGACCUCGCGAGAGCAAGCGGACCUCAUAAAGUGCGUCGUAGUCCGGAUUGGAGUCUGCAACUCGACUCCAUGAAGUCGGAAUCGCUAGUAAUCGUGGAUCAGAAUGCCACGGUGAAUACGUUCCCGGGCCUUGUACACACCGCCCGUCACACCAUGGGAGUGGGUUGCAAAAGAAGUAGGUAGCUUAACCUUCGGGAGGGCGCUUACCACUUUGUGAUUCAUGACUGGGGUGAAGUCGUAACAAGGUAACCGUAGGGGAACCUGC